rnacentral:lncRNA from 1 species
CAUGUAAAACUCCAGGUGGUGGUCCUGGCUCUGCCUUUUUGGGUCUCAUCCCUGUCUGGAGGGAUGUGGAGGCUGUGGCUGUUUAGAUCCAGGUGAUGUAGCCCCCACCCUAGGUGAGCCCAGAUGACGUGGUCCUCAACCUGACAUACAUUUCGUGAGCUCUUAACUGUCCAAGCUGUCCCUAUGGACAGCUACCUGCCUCUCACCUUCUCUUUGGCCAUUGCCACUACCAACUCUGUCUCUUAGAGACUAGAGCUUCCUAUUCAACUUUUCGUUGAAUUUAUUGGAAUUGUUUUGUCUCCAGGUGCUUGAAAUAUCACUAUGUAAUUACUAAAUUGGCAGCAAAUUGAAUGAACAGACAUGCCAGCAAGAUGGCAAAAACCAUGGCCCCAUCUAAAAUGCUCUUCAUUUCUAAUUUUUUUCACUUGAAGUUAAGGUCCACUCUCUUUCUGCUAAAACAAAUUAUAUUUCAUCCUUGGGUUUUGGUUCCUACACUUGCCAGGGCUACUUGGUUUCACGUCUUUUCCACUCUUGAGCUGCUUCUGAGGUCUGUCUCUUAGAACUGCUGCUGUUUAACUCAUAUAUUUUUUUUUUUUGGUCUGGGAGCCCAGAUCCAUGGCUCCAGCUCUAUUAAGCACCUCCAGUGUUUGCUUUACUGCAGUGAUGUUCAUAUAAAAGCAAAAUGAGCAAUUACAUUAUCUUAGACGUGGCUGAAUUGUUCAUGUCAGAAACAAUCUUUGUAUCAUUAUGCAAAUGAAACGUACUUUUGUGGAAAUAUGUGGCACAGCAUCAAACUGGGAUGCUUAAAUAUAAAUCCUUAUGUUUUUGUCCGGUUAACUCACCAUCAAAAAUAUGGGUAGGAUGAAAUUCAGGUUAUUAUUGCCCCUUCACAAAAAUGGUAAUGGUAUUGAUUGCUAUAUGUAUGGCAUUGUAGAGCUGAUGGAUCUUGGGAAACUGUGCCUCAGUUUCCUCAUCUGUAAAAUGGGAAUAAUAAUACCAGUAUCCUGGAUUGUUGCAAGGGUGAAAUGAGUUAAUAUAUGUGAAGUGCUUAGAAUAGAGCCUCGCACAUAGUAAGAGCUACUAGCAUAUAAAUGUUAACCAUUGCAUGAAAAUACUGUAUGAUUAUCUUUUGGAAGCCAGACACAAUUUAGGUAUGCAUUUUUUUGGUCAUGCCCAAGGUAUGUGGAAGUUCCUGGGCCAGGGAUUGAAUCCACAUGUCAGCAGUGACCUGAGCCACAGCAGUGACAACACCAGAUCCUUAACUACUGGGCCACUAGGAAACUCCUAGGCAUGCAUUUUUAUAAUGUGGUAUUUCUUUUUAAAUGCUUCGGCCAAGAUAAUUAUGAUUAAAUCCAACAGUGACAAAUCCAAAUGUUUAAGUGUUUUAAAGUAGAGAGGUAUUUUGUUUUGCUUUGCAUUUUUGUUUUUGUGUUUGUUUUGCUUUCUAGGGCCGCACCUGGGGCAUAUGGAGGUUCCCAGGACUAGGGGUCCAAUCAGAGCUAGAGCUGCCGACCUAUGCCACAGCCACAGCAAUGCCAGAACUGAGCUGUGUCUGUGACCUAUACCACAGCUCACAGCAACACCGGAUCUUCAACCCACUGAUUGAGGCCAGGGAUCAAACCAUCCUCAUGGAUCCUAGUUGGGUUCAUUAACCUCUGAGCCACAAGGGCAAUUCCAUUGUUUUGCAAAUUUUUGAUAAUUGAAUUACCCUCGGAGUGUUCCUUUUCAGGUGGGAUGUACUUGUCAGAGUGGAAGUAAGCCUCGUCAGUAGAACCUUAUGAUUUCUUCCUUUUACAUCUGAUUGUGGGGUCUCUGCUUCUGGUCCUCUUUCUUAAUCCCUGUGGCAGGACCCUCUGCUCUGUUUUGCUUCUUGCACAGUCUGUUACGAUUCACCUCUCGCUCUUCCUCCCUGCAGAAGGCAGCCAGCCCUUGAGGUGGGUAAACUUUAGAACAUUUAGAUUUCAAUUUUGCAGCUUAUCUGUGCACAUUAAACAGCCAGCCUGUGCCAGUUUUCUCCCAGGCUUUUUGGCAUGAGAGUGAUGACUGGCCGCUUGGGUCAGGAAUGCUGCGUGCUCCUCUGUGGGUGGCCAGAAGCUGAGCUGAAAGAGUUCAGCUUUCUGCUAUUCCAGUCUUUUCUGCUGCAGAAAAGGAUGUCAUCAUAACUUUGAUAAGUUGACGAUGGCCAGUUCAUUUCCUUUUUGACACUGCAGUAGUUAUUUUUAACAAGUAACUUGAAAUUCAAGGGCAUAUGAACCCUAGGCGGGAUUAUCUGAAGCGCUCUGAGCUCUUCCUGAGCCAUCUCUCUAGGCUUGGUCUAGGAACUGUGGGCAGGAAACAAAGAAUUUAUUUCUGGACUGCUGAUCUGAGCCUGUUGUCACCUCAGUUAUUUAUUGGUGCUUUAAAUUUGUCAAAAGGCUUAAUAUAAAAUGUAAAACCAUAUCCAAUAAUUUGUAUCUUUCUAAUCUCUUUUUGAUAAUUUCACAAGUGACUAGUGGGAUCUGUAGUUAAGGGAUACCAGAGAAACUUUUUCUUUCUACAUAUCCAAUCUAAUAUUUAUGUAUUUAUCUAUCAGUCAAGCUCUUGAACCAGAAACCGUAGUGGAGGAGUUCCCAUUGUGGCUCGGUUGUUAAGAACCCAACAUAGUGUCUGUGAGGAUUCGGAUUCCAUCUCUGGCCUCACUCAGUGGGUUAAGGAUCUGGUGUUGCUGGAAGCUGUAGGUUCAGAUCCAGUGGCUGUGGUGUAGGCCACCAGCUGCAGCUCCAAUUCGUCCCCUAGCCUGGGAGCUUCCAUAUGCUGAGGGUGGGGCCCUAAAAAAAAAUGUGGAUCACAGGAAGCCAGAGAGAAGAAAAUAUAUACUGUACAAUUCCUUAUCAGUUUCAAAGUGGGUGAAAAAAGAAACCUUUUUCGGAUUGCAUACUUAGAAGUUGGGAGUCAUGACUAUUUCAGGCAAGGUCCCUCUGAGCGGAUGACAGUCAUUUAGUUCUUAUAAUUUCUGUAAUUUUAUUGAGUUCAACUGCCAUACAUUACUGUAUACAUUUAAAGUGUACAGCAUCAUGAGUUGACUUUCAUAUAUCAUGAAAAGAUGACCAUAGUAAGUUUAGUUAACAUCCAUCAUCUCAUAGAGAUACAGGAAAAGAAAAAGAUAAAACACUUUUCUCCUUGUGAUGAGAACUCUUGGGAUUUACUCCCUUAACAACUUUCCUAUGUACCGUAUGGCAGCAUUAACUCUAGUCAUCAUGCUGUAUAUUAUGUGCGUAGCAUUUAUCUCAUAGCUAUAAGUUUGUAGCAUUUAUCUCAUAGCUAUAAGUUUGUAUCUUUUGACCACCACCUCCAGUUCCUUCUCCUCUAACUCCCACCUCUGGUAACUAUAAUGAUAGCUACAGACCGGAUCCUUUUUCUAUAAGAUGUUUUUAUUUUAAGAUUCCACAUAUAAGUCAGAUCAUACAGUAUUUGUCUUUCUCUGUGACUUAUUUCACUUAGCAUCAUACCCUCUAGGUCUGUCUGUGUUGUUGCCAAGACAGCAUUUUGGUCCUAAUCAAACCUUCUCAUGGUUAAGGAAACCCCUUCACACUGAGGGUUAGUAAGAAGCCCUGUGAACUUGGAUGUGCCCAGUCUCCAUCCCUGGUUUCUUGGUGGGAAUAACCAUCUGUUAAUUCUCACUGUGCCUUCGUUUCUUUCUUUUAAGUUGGACAUAAAUACCUUUCUGCUCAGAAUCUUUUACUGAGUAAGGGGGAAAGAGAAGAAAUCUCACACUGGCCAGUUUAGUUACUUGCUGACAGUUUGUUUAGAGUUCAAACAAGAAGGCUUUGAAGGAGAAUUGAGCACGGUCUCUGGAUUUACCAGUCUUCCAUGUUUUUCUUCCAUCAAUGUAAAUCACUCUGAGAUGGCUAAUAGUGUUUGGUUGAUUCAACCAUAGAUUGAAAAUAUUUGGGGGAAAAAUUCCAGGAAGUUCUGGAAAGCAAAACUUGAAUUUGCUAUGCAGACUCAAACUGUUUUUGAAUUGGCACUGGCAACAAUUUAUAUAACAUUUACAUUGUAUUAGUUAUUAUGAGUAAUCUGGAGAUGAUUCAAAGUAUACAGGAGGAUGUGUGUAGGUGAUAUGCAAAUACUGCACCAUUUUAUAUAAGGGAUUUGAGCAUCUGUGGAUUUUGGUAUCUGAGGAGGGUCCUGGAACCACCAAAGGAUGACUGAUGCACAUUUUUUCAAAAUACAAAAUUUUCAUGAUAAUCAUGAGCUCAACAAAUUCAGCUACAUUAUGUAUUGGUCCCUUUUUGUGCUUUAGCUUUAAUUGUUACUCAGAUAACUUUAAAUAAAAUCAUUUUUUUUAGAAUCAUUCCUAACUCAAAUAAAAUACUAAAUGCUGAGGUUUUUUUUUUUUGUUUUUUUGUUUUUUUGUUUUUUGUUUUUUGUUUUUUUUCUUUUCUCUUUUUCUUUUUGGUCUUUUGUCUUUUUAGGCCUGGGAACCUCCAUAUGCCGCGGGAGUGGCCCAAGAAAUAGCAAAAAAACAAAAAAAAAAAAAAAAAAAAAAAAAAGUUCAGACUUCUUUAUUAUCAUUAUAUUUGUUAUGAUGAUCUGUGGCCAGUGAUCUCUGAUGUUACCACUGUGAUUUGCUUAAGGCUCAGGUGAUAGUUAGCAUUUUUUAGCGAUAGCGUACUUUUCAAUUAAGAUAGGUACACUUUUUUAGAAAUAAUGCGAUUGUACACUUAGUAAACUAUCAGUAUCGUGUAAGCAUAACUUUGAGCUGCACUGAGAAACCAAAACAUUUUAGCGACUUGCCUUAUAACGGGAUACUCGUGGUAGUCUCGAAGUGAACCCACAGUACCCCCGAAGUAUGCCUGUAUCAGUGAUGAAAAGGUGAAAAAUUAGGCACACUCACAAGAUAAAAACUCCCUCUGGUAAGUGUAGAGAAAACCAUACUGAGUUACAUUUCAGGACUCCUCCUUUCCUACGGAGAAAGAACGCUUUAGGAGACUUUGGGAUAGUGGGUUUAUAUCAGGAUAAUGAUGGUCUUUGCUGUUUUUUCCAUGCCUGUUUCAAGCCGUUCUCCACCAUAGGGCCUCAGGUAUUUUAUUUCCAGCUACUCAGUCCCUUCUGUUCAAACUCAUUCACAUGAGAUGUCUUACAAACUUAUCCUUUGAUGUAAAAUACCAUUUACUCUUGCCUGUGCCUCAAAUCUAAUUUACUUUGUCCUGAUGAUAGUAACGGGGCAGGAUCGAGAAAUAAAUUUUGAAAUCAUGACUUAGAUCUAAAAGUUCGGUAUCCGUUCCAUUCUUUUCCCCAUCAGCUUCAGUUGGUAGGAUUUUGACUAACAAAUUUGGAAGCAUCUGAGAAAAUCUUAAACUCAUCUGUCAUUGUUAUGUCCCCAGUGGCAGCUAAAGAUUGCAUUCAUGGGCUUUUGCCAGAAUAAACAGUCUGAAUCUUCAGCAAGGUCUUCGGAACCUAACUGGGACUCUUUAGUUUGCCCUUUAUAGAAAUAGCUUCUGUCAGUUCUCUCUAACGAAUUCCUUUCAUGGUGCAGUGUGUAGCCCACUAAACACAGAGAGAAUAUACAAUCUUUCUCAUUUCUGAGCUUUUAAUUGAUGUGGGACCAGUGAUGUUUCAUAACUGUACUGCUUUAAUACAGUCAUUAGACUCCAAGUCAUAGGAAAUCAACUUUUAUUUGAUACUUGGGAAAAAUAAUUUUAGGAAGCUUUCAGAAUGGACAAAUGCACUAGAAAAUCAAAAGUACAGGUUUACUUUAAAUAUGAAACUAUUCUUUUAAGAGGGAUUUUAUUUGCAUUUUAAGUCUUCUGGGAAGGAACCCCCCGAUACGGUAUCAAUGCAGGUUUCAUUUUACAGAAAGAAACCUGGAGUCAGAGAAGCGAUGUGCCACCAGGCAGUGGCAGAGCUGGUACUGGAACCCAGGACUCCUGGCUUCCUGCCUGCACAAAGCAAUUUCUAAGUGACCUUCACAUAAAAUAUCAUUUUAAAAGAGUGUAUUUAAAUGAACUUAAAACUUAAUAAAUUUAAAAGUUUUAAGACUUUUAUUGGACUAUUAUAUUGCACUAUGUGUGAGACCUGGUGACUAAAACAAUAUAUUACCUACUUUCUAACCUGAGAUUGGAAAAUUUUUACACCUAUAGUUGUAUACACACACAUGCAUACUAACAAACACAAACAUGUACACCCAUAUACCUAUAUAUACACACACCUACAUAUAUAUACACAUCUACACACAUACUUAUACAUGUACACUAUACAUACACAUGUGUGUAUGCCAGCACACCCACAUGCAUAUGCGUGUACAUAUGCAUAUAUAUAUAUAUACACAUUUGUGUGUGUAUAUGUAUAUAUACAUACUCAUAUGUAUACACAUGCAUGCAGCUACACACGCAUGCGUAUGUGUAUCUACACACACACACACACAUAGGGCAGAAUAGUAGAAAAUAAGGGCUCUGAAAUCAGGCAAACUUACAGCCCUACUGGUACUGGCUGUGUUUCCUCAGGCAAAUCUAUUAGCCUUUAAAAAACUAAGGUUUACCAUUUGUAAAAUAAGGAAAAUAAUACUAUUCUCAGACUGUGAAAAACCAAAUACAUAACAUAUGAAGUAUUUAGCCCAUUGUCGGCCACCUAAUAAGCUCUCAGGAAGUGUUAGGAGUUGAUGCUGUGAACAGAAUGUACAGAAUGCUGGGCGGUGAGUUAAGUUGAAGAAAAGGUUGGAAAUAAAAUAAAAUAAAAUC